UACGUAGGGAGCAAGCGUUGUUCGGAUUUACUGGGCGUAAAGGGCGCGUAGGCGGCAAUUCAAGUCAUCUGUGAAAUCUCCGGGCUUAACUCGGAACGGUCAGAUGAUACUGCUUUGCUAGAGUGCAGAAGGGGCAAUCGGAAUUCUCGGUGUAGCGGUGAAAUGCGUAGAUAUCAGGAGGAACACCGGUGGUGUAGACGGCUUUCUGGACCGUAACUGACGCUGAGACACGAAAGCGUGGGUAGCAAACAGG
rnacentral:rRNA from 1 species